GCCUAGCCCUAAACUUAGACAGUACAAACACAAUACUGUCCGCCAGAGAACUACAAGCGAAAAACUCAAAACUCUAAGGACUUGGCGGUGCUCCACAUCAACCUAGAGGAGCCUGUCCUAUAAUCGAUACUCCACGUUAAACCCUACCAUCUUUAGCCACUCAACCUAUAUACCGCCGUCGUCAGCCUACCUUAUGAAAGAAAUACAGUAAGCGAAGCAGUCAAAAACUAACACGUCAGGUCAAGGUGUAGUACAUAAGAUGGAAGAGAUGGGCUACAUUUUCUAAACCAGAAUACACGAACGGGGUAAUGAAAUACACCCCUAAAGGUGGAUUUAGCAGUAAGAUACAUAAGAAACAACAUCUUAAACUCGCUCUGGAGCGCGCACAC
rnacentral:rRNA from 1 species